rnacentral:sRNA from 1 species
ACUGUCCAGUAGUUGGAGGUCACACAGCCCCUUGCCUUAUUCUCAAAACCUAACCAUAUGGCUGGACAUUCCUGAAAUGCAUUCCUAAACCUCUGCUGCUGAGAAUAAUUGGAGCUGCCAUCUGUUCCCAGUUUAACUGCCCUGUAUACCAAACAAAUCCAAUUCAAGCCAACAGGCAAAGUAUAGGCUCAGACAGAGUCCAUCCUGUGUGCGAGGCGGUGAGCAGGGGUGGAAAAUCUCACUGUGACUCAUCCAGCUGAUUUCUGGAGCACACUAGCUGAUGCCCCUCACUUGGCACCUGUGUUGGCCCUGGCAUCAUGGACAAUAGAAACACCCAGAUGUACACAGAGGGUAGAACCAAGGCUCCAGGGACGCAGCCAAGUCCUGGCCUGAGGAUCACCAUAAAGAGGGCUGGUGUUGAGCCCAUCAUACCGGGAGUCAGCAAGGUCAUGUUUCCGGAUGCUUUGGAAGUGGGCAGCAGGAAGCACCUCUCAUCACCUUCAGGAGGGCCAGAGAAGGGGCCCAGACACAGAGAUGCAUUCAAGAAGGGGCCUUCAGAGCUCAGAACCCAGGAGCAGAGGCCUCCAGCAAGACCAGGGAAGAAACAGUCCUCUUGGGUCCCCCAGGAAGGGUCCCAGGAGCUGCAAGCAGGCCAGGAUCAGAGUGAGCUGGGGUUGCUGCCUUCCUGGGUUCCUGAAGUACCUGAAGGGCUGCAGCAGCUGGGCUCCAGAAAGGAGAUCAAGGGCCAGCAGGGGAGGCAACGAAACCAGGGAACCGGGGAGGAUCAGCCUCCUGAGAGCUGCCAGGGCUCCGGAUAUCAAUCCACCCUCGGUCACCAGGCAGACAUGGUGCAGCCAGCAGAGCCUUGCUGCUGCUUGGCCAGCCGUGGCCAGCCACUGGGAGGCAGGCACCCCAAGGAGGCAGGUGUCCCACACAUCAGGCCACAGGAGGCUCCGCCAGAGCCCAGCCCAGGAGGACAUGGGGACAGCUCUCAGGAAGCAAUGCCCCCAAUGUCCAUCGUGGCUCCAGAGGAAAAGACAGCCAACCCCUUCCUGCCAUCCACGCCUGGACCUAAAAAACCAAAAGGAGGGAGGGCAGACAACAGGCAUGAACAAAGCCAAGUGGUGGGACCAGGAGUAACUCACUCAAGACCAUGGCUCAGCCGGGUGCAGUGGAUCACGCUUGUCAUCCCAGCACUUUGGGAGGCCAAGGCGGAGGAUCACUUGAGGAGGUGAGGGACAUUGGAGAGAGGCCAGAGCCAGGCCGUGUGCAGCAGCAGCCUCAGAAGCCUGCGGUGGCUGCAGGGACACAGAGCCUCGGGAACUUCCGGCAGGGCUUCAUGAAGUGCUUGCUGGAGGUGGAGAAAAUGGAGGCCUCCCAUCGGAGAGCCUCGAAGGCCCGGUCCCAGACAGUCCAGAAGUCCCCCAGGACCCUGACCCCGGUCCCCACCUCAGCCCCAAGCCUGCCUCAGACCCCUGCCUCGGUCUCUGCCAGUGUCCCAUCGUGGGCCCAGCUGCCAGCUCCUGGGCCAGAGCCUGCCCCCAUGGGAGCCCCGGUCCCCACCUCCAUGCCUUGCCCUGUCCUGCUGGGCCCUGCCCUGGACCUGGGCUGGAGAAGGAUGGAACUCUUGCACCAGAGCAGCGAGAGAACCCUGAGCUACGCCAAGGCACGGCAGGAGCCGGAAGAGCAGAGCCUCCAAAAGCUUUAUGAAAACCGGGAGAAGUCCGAGGAGCAACUGACCCUGAAGCAAGAGGAAGUAGAGACGGAGUUUCACCAUGUUGGCCAGGCUGGUCUCGAACUCCUGAACUCAAGUGAUCCACCCGCCUCAGCCUCCCAAAGUCUAGAAUUACAGGCGUGAGCCACCACGCCCGGCCUCGUGCUAGGUCUUCUGACUCGAGGUCCAGCCCUCUCCCUGUGCCAGAGCUGCCUCUCUGAGAGAAUGACAGAUGCCCUGCACAGUGCUUUAGCCUUCCGCAACUACUUUGAGAUCUUCAAUGGCCCUGGUGAGGUAGAUGCACAGAGCCUGAAGAAUAUCCUGCUCCUAAUGGGCUUCUCUGUGACGCCGGCCCAGGUGGAGGACGCCCUGAUGAGUGCUGAUGUCAAUGGAGAUGGUCAUGUGGAUUUCAAAGACUUCUUGGCUGUGAUGACAGACACCAGGCGCUUCUUCUGCUCUGUGGAACAGAACGCCCUGUCGGACAUGGCUCCCCACAACCCCCACACUCUACUCUUUGAGAUCCUGUCCCUGCUGGUAGAGAUGCUGGCCUUACCAGAGGCAGUCUUAGAGGAAAUCACAAACUACUACCAGAAAAAGCUGAAGGAAGGCACCUGCAAGGCCCAGGAGAUGGAAGCGGCCAUAGGCCGGCUGCGGUUGCAGAAGAAGCUUCCCCACAACCCCCAGCAAGAAGAGAACUCAGAAGUCCCAGAACGAAAGGUCCUCAGUAUCCUGAGCCGGCUGAAGCAGCAGAACUAUGGCAGCCAGGCCAAGGGAGCUGAGAGGCCAGUUUCCCACUUCGGGCUUAACUGUGUACAUCAGAAAACAGGCUGAUAAUCACUAUUUUCCAUCCAGGCCUAUGACAAUGGCCUUCUGCAUUGGACUACUCCCCUCCUGCCUUAGCCUGAGCACAGCUCCCAACCUGCAGAGCCCCUAUGCCCAGGUGCCCUGCAUCCCGCUCUGCUCACGGCUGGACAAGAAGAUGGUCCGUAGGAAGCCAAGCAACCACUAUGCACUAGACCAGUGCACACCCCCUGGCCUGGAUCCUGACAUCCAUAGCCCCUUCUUCCAGUCAGGAUCUCAAGGAAACAGGGAACCAACGGUGGAGUGAGCCUGUGAGACUCAGCUUGCCACCUUGGCCACCACGUGCUGCCCUCAUCACAAAAACCACACCAACCACUCCAAAACGUAUCUGCUGGUCAGGAGCAGGGAGGCUGUCUGGCUGGCUGAGGGAUAAGGCGCAGUGCAACGGAAGGGAUCAGGAAGCCUGAGAGGAGCCAGGAAAUGUACCAGGUAUAGUUACUGAGCUGGGGCCAUCAAUGGAGAUGGAGCACUGCAGACCCCUAAGAGUUCAAGCCAUGCUGGAGUGGGAAGACCUAUCCACCUUCUGAACAUACGAGGCAGAAGGCUCAGAGUCCUGGAGGCAGACUCUCUCCUGGUUUUCCUUGUGCUGAUGGCAAAAUACUAAACAAGUCUUCUCUCCGUCACUUCUAAGCCCAGGGAUGCAAUCUCACUCCCUGGCACUCUGCUCUCUUCUAGAAGUAGUAAGCCUGGCUGGUAGGGAACCACCCUGAGGGGUAUGGGAAGGGGAAGUCGGUUCACUUUCCCUAUCUCCCAAAAUACUAGAGGUGGGGUUGGCACCCUCCCCAGGCUCUCCGAGCCUACAGAGCUAGCCCAGUCUCCAGGCAAGGCCCAGAUGCCAUGGGACUUAGCUCGGGGAGGGAGGUAUAGGCAUGGGGUGCUCAUCUGUCCUGGCGGCUGCAGAGCCCUGCCCCUUUUCCGGGCAGCAGUAGGAAUACAGAAGCUAAGCUCACCAAAAUCCUAUUGGUUAAUGUUUCUAGUGAAUUUCCCAGAAACAUUUUUAAGUAGACUACCAAACUACCCUUUCUUAAUUAAAAAUUCAUUAAACCACU